AAUCCUUGUUGUGGGCAUUGACAGAGUAAACCUUUGUAUCAUUUUCAAGCCUCUUAAUAGCAUCCUGAAUCCUAUUGUUGGAAAGUAGUAAUCUCAUCCCUUAGCUU
rnacentral:snoRNA from 1 species